GGUCAGCACUGACCUUGCCUUGCAGCUCCCUGGAACAGCUCACAGAGGGGAAAUGCAGGCCCCAAAAAUGUGCCCUACAAAAGAGGAGUGCUGGCCCCCAGAGCAAUUAGCCUAAUUAGUGAUGGCACAGAGCAGCUCCAGGGCCUGGCAGUGGGGACACCCAGGAACUGGAAUGCACCUCACAGCUCCUCUGCAGAAAAUACAAACUCUCUGUUCUGGUUCACAAUCCUGAGUGAUCAGCCCUUGAUUGGACCCUCAGCUCUUGCAAUGGGCUCAGACAGCUCUGACAGAGCCACCUUGGGCAGGGGUGGUGAAUAAAGAGGUUCAGAGAAGUUCUGGGAGCUGCUGGCUGGGUGCAGGAUUGAUCCUGGCCAAUCCCUAAACCACCUCUCACUUUGGGAAAGGCUGAACUGUUGUGGGAAGUUUCACCUGAGCAUCAGGAAGAACUUUCCUCUUAAGGCCAUUCCUCCUUGUCCCAUCACUCCAUGCUCUUGGAAAAAGUCUCUCUCCAUCUUUCUUGAGGAUCUGGGAGGGAAAAAGGAACAAACAACAAAGCAUUCCUGCUUCCACUGAAGAAUGACUUCUUAGCCUAAUAAAGUUCCCUAAGUGACAAUUUUAGAAAAAAUUGUUUAAAAUCCAUCACAAUUUCUUCUUCUUUGCUAGCAGGAGGUUGAUCAAGUGGACACCAAGCAGAACUUACUUCUAAGAACUUUCUUGAGUGGAUUUGUGUCAGGAUACCACAAAUGUCAUGGUCUGGAAUUUCAAGAACAAAAUCCCAGUGGAAGCAGCACAAGGAGCUUUCCUUGGCAGCAAGAACCAAGUGUUCAUUUUGGCCAGCAAAGGCACCGAUCCUGCUGCACAAGGGAGCAGGGAAUUGCUGUGGCAAAGGGAAGGGGCAAUGAAAGAGGAAUGGGAUUUUAAUGGAAUUGAAGACAGUUCUUGACCCUUCCAGGAAUUCUGACAGAGAAGCAGAAGCUGGGCAUUGAACAGGCGUAGAUCCAAUGAUGUUAUAGUCAGCAGAACCAAAGAUUUUUAAAGAGCCAUGGAUUGUACUGGUCCUUUUGGAUGGGAGGGGAACUUUUGGAUUAAAUUAACCUGUUUGUUUGUUUGCUUUCCCUAUUUUCUAAUGCAGGGAAACCAGAUUCCUCUAAAAGUUGGAAAUUGAGGGUGUAGAGACAUACUUGACAUUGUAGCACCUGAUUUAAAAGUUUUAAAGAAUCACAAUUCUUCAGAAUGCCUGAUUUUAACAGGAGCUGUUCUCCCACAAACGUAUUUAUCAUGGAAAGGGAUCCUAGGAGGACUUCUGGGAUACAACUUCCAAUAUGCACCUUCCCUAGGAUAACUAACACAGCCUUUUCCCUGGAGAAUUCUCCCCCAGAAACUCUUUGGUUUUGGGAAGGAUUUUCAGAGAAUCACUGAGGUUGGAAAAGAUCUCCAGGAUCACCAGCUGUGCCCCAGGCCCAGAGCACUCAGUGCCACCUGCAGGUGUUCCUGCAGGGAUGGGCACUCCAAACCUCCCUGGGCAGCCUCUUCCAAUGCUCAACAACCAUUUCCAUGAAAAAGAAAAUUCCUCCUGAUGUCCAGAAAUUCCUGCCUGACGUUUUAAACCAGAAGAGAAACUUUUCAUGCUCAGGAGCGUGAUCUUCACCGUGAGUGUGAACACCAAGUCAGGGAGAACUCAGGGAAAUUCACUUUUUUUUUUGGGAACAAGGCUCAUCCAGCAGCACUUCCAGGACCUUCUGGUCCAGAGGCGUGCCAGCCUCCACAGUGUGCAGCUCUGGCUGCCAAUGCAAAGCCGCUACUAUCGAAGCCGGCUCUGAUGAUGACUCAAAAGCUGAUCUAUCUCCAUCCCAACGGGUUACCAUGGCAACCCCUCUGGCCUAAAAAGAGCUGGACCACAUGGGUUCCUCAGCAGCACCUUUCUGACAGGCGAAACACAAGCUGCUCCCUCCACAGGAUGGCUCCAUGUGCGACUGAGGCUGCCACGGGGCUUGGCAAGGGCUGAACUUCUGCUGGGGCUUCCCUGGGGCUGGGGCCUGUCUCCCCGUUCCUCUAAGUUCUUCUAAGUUCUGCUAAGCCUUCUGUCUGAUGUUUCUGUUCUUGUCAUGAACUUUCUCACGCACUUUUAUGUCGAUAAUUAUUGUUUUACGUUCUUUUCUGGAGGAGGAGAAAUUUGAUGAACUGUUGGUUUGACCAUUGGAGAAGUGGGACUGUCAUCUCCAAUCCACUGGC